GCAUUCGAAACUGGCAGGCUAGAGUCUUGUAGAGGGGGGUAGAAUUCCAGGUGUAGCGGUGAAAUGCGUAGAGAUCUGGAGGAAUACCGGUGGCGAAGGCGGCCCCCUGGACAAAGACUGACGCUCAGGUGCGAAAGCGUGGGGAGCAAACAGGAUUAGAUACCCUGGUAGUCCACGCCGUAAACGAUGUCGACUUGGAGGUUGUGCCCUUGAGGCGUGGCUUCCGGAGCUAACGCGUUAAAGUCGACCGCCUGGGGAGUACGGCCGCAAAGGUUAAAACUCAAAAUGAAUUGACGGGGGCCCGCACAAAGCGGUGGAGCAUGUGGUUUAAUUCGAUGCAACGCGAAGAACCUUACCUACUCUUGACAUCCAGAGAACUUUCCAGAGNUGGAUUGGUGCCUUCGGGAACUCUGAGNCAGGUGCUGCNUGGCUGUCGUCAGCUCGUGUUGUGAANUGUUGGGUUNNGUCCCGCAACGAGCGCAACCCUUAUCCUUUGUUGCCAGCGGUUAGGCCGGGAACUCAAAGGAGACUGCCGAGUGAUAAACUGGAGGAGGGUGGGGGUGACGUCNNGUCNUCAUGGCCCUUACGAGUNGGGCUACACACGUGCUNCNGUGGCGCGUACGGGANNGCGACCUCGCGGGNGCGGCGGACCUCAGGGGUGCGUCGUNUCCGGNUUGGAUCUNNACUCGACUCCNUGGAUCGGAGUCGCUAGUGUCGUAGUCGAGGUGCNACGGNNGUNCGUUCCCGGGNCNUGNCNCACCGCCCGUCCACCNNNGAGNNNUUGCGGGA
rnacentral:rRNA from 1 species